rnacentral:rRNA from 1 species
CCAGACUCCUACGGGAGGCAGCAGUGAGGAAUAUUGGUCAAUGGGCGGAAGCCUGAACCAGCCAAGUCGCGUGAGGGAUUAAGGCCCUAUGGGUCGUAAACCUCUUUCGUCAGGGAGCAAUGGCGUCCACGUGUGGGCGUAUGGAGAGUACCUGAAGAAAAAGCAUCGGCUAACUCCGUGCCAGCAGCCGCGGUAAUACGGAGGAUGCGAGCGUUAUCCGGAUUUAUUGGGUUUAAAGGGUGCGUAGGCGGAAUGCCAAGUCAGCGGUAAAAUCGGGGGGCUCAACCUCGCUCCGCCGUUGAAACUGGGGAUCUAGAGUGUGCGAGAGGUAUGCGGAAUGCGUGGUGUAGCGGUGAAAUGCAUAGAUAUCACGCAGAACCCCGAUUGCGAAGGCAGCAUACCGGUGCACAACUGACGCUCAGGCACAAAAGCGUGGGUAUCGAACAGGAUUAGAUACCCGCGUA